rnacentral:rRNA from 1 species
GACGAACGCUGGCGGCGUGCUUAACACAUGCAAGUCGAACGGAAAGGCCUGCUUUCCCUUGUGGAUUGCGGGUACUCGAGUGGCGAACGGGUGAGUAACACGUGAGUGAUCUGCCCCCAACUUGGGUAUAAGCCUGGGAAACUGGGUCUAAUUCCCGAUAGGACUGCAGGGUGGUGCCUGUGGUGGAAAACGAUUUUCUAGUGGUUGGGGAUGAGCUCGCGGCCUAUCAGCUUGUUGGUGGGGUAAUGGCCUACCAAGGCGGCGACGGGUAGCCGGCCUGGGAGGGUGGACGGCGACAUUGGGACUGAGAUACGGCCCAGACUCCUACGGGAGGCAGCAGUGGGGAAUCUUGCACAAUGGGCGGAAGCCUGAUGCAGCGACGCCGCGUGGGGGAUGACGGCCUUGGGGUUGUAAACUCCUUUCGACCGCGAGGAAGCCACCUGGUUGGAAGGGUGGUGACGGUAGUGGUAGAAGAAGCACCGGCUAACUACGUG